CGGCCCCCUGACGUUUCAGUGCAGUUAACUUAAGAGAUUUUGGAGGACACACAAACCACUCCACAGCGGAUUCCUACAAGAUUAAUAAAAUAAUAAUGAAACAUUGUGGGACGUGCAGGACCCCGAGCAGAGCAGAGCUACGAUGCUGUCCCAGGUAACGUUAGCUAGCUCACAUCAGGCAGCAGUCAGACCAACCAGGAGGACGUGGUAGCAGCAGAGGGAGAGGAGCCUUCAGUCUCUCUGUGGAGAAAACAC